CCUCGGCCGCCGCCCGUCUUCCCCGCCUCCGUCGGCCGCCUCCUCUCCCGGACGCCGCCACCUCGGCCGCCGCCCAUCUUCCCCGCCUCCGUCAGCCACCUCCUCUCCCCGACACCGCCUACGCCACCCUGCCUCGGACGCCUCCUCUCCCGGACGCCGCCUCGGUCCCCAGACUCCCCACCUCCGUCGCCUCCUCGGUCGCCCACACCGGAUGCCACCUCGGCCGCCUCCGUCGCCCACGCCGAACGCCGCCUGAGCCGACGCCUCGGCCCCCGACAGCCGUCCCCGCGUCGGCUGCCGCUUCCAUCGCCCACGCUGGACUCCGUCUCGGCCGUCGGCAGCCGUCCCCGCCUCGGCCGCUGCCUCCGUCACCCACGCCGGAAGCCACCUACGCCGCCGGCCACAGGUCAGAAUCUACGGUUGAGAUCAUCUGUGUCAGCCCGGCCUCACCCUAGCACCUCCACAGAUUGCCCUCGCCUCCACCCCACCAACGCCCCUCCACCACGCCUUCAACCCUAGCAUCUCCACCGCGCCGUCGUCACCUCACCGCACCCCGCGACUGACGCCGUCGAGCUCCUCCCCUGCGCUGCCCACGCCCUGCACGUUCACUGCUGCGCGCCCUGCACGUCCACUACGGCCGCCCCUCCACCACGCCGCCCGCGCACGUCCACCGUGUCGCCUCCGCCUCUCCGCGACCGAUGCCGCCUCCACUUCGGAGACAUCCUCCAACUCAGUUGCCUUCGCUCUUGGCGUCGCCGGGAGCCACCGCAGAGAGAAGAUGCACCCCCGCCUCCGCUCGCUCCCCGGGGCGCCGCCGCAACCGACGUCCAAUGCUACAGUUCGCCCCCGCCUCCAACGACGUCGCCGUUGCUCCCAAAAUCCCCCUCUGUAAAUCAUUGAGGUGAGGCUCUGGAACUUUUGGAAUUUUGAACGAUUCAAGAUGUUAGCACAUCCUAGCAGCCACUGCAGAAUUGCACUGAUUGUUUCUUCAGACUUCAUAGCAAUCUCCAGGAGUUUUUGAGCCAGACAUGAAUUCAGAAUUGGAUUUGAUGGAAUACAUAUGCAUGCAAAUAGCUGAAUUCACACUUGGAGAUUGCUAUGAAGUCUCAAGAAACAAUCAGCGUAAUUCAAGCUUCCCAUCUCAUCUUUCAACCUAUGUAGCCACUCCAAUAUAAUGUGAUUAUGAGUAGCAGUAUUUAAAAGUUUAGGAUGAAAAAAAAUGGUUAACUUGGUGUGUUCUUGAACCAGUAUGAUGUAAAUUAUAUGAAAUUAUAUCUUUCAGGAAGUGUGUUCCUGAAGUAGCAACAGGUAAACAAAAAGUCAUACCCUAGCAUAUCAUAUCUGAAUGUUUGGAUCAUCAAGGAUCUCUCUAGAUGAGUAAUAUCUGAAUGUUCCUUCUGCUGAAACCGAAUGAGAAAUAUCUGAAUGUUCCUUUAUUUAUGUGUAUUAUUUUUAUUGAAACUCAAUGUGAAUCAAUUAUUUUGAACAUUUGAUAGCAUGCCAGUCUCAUCUUAGAAAGCUUAUAAUCAAUCUGUGUGGUGACUAUAAUCAAGUAUGCGAGUCAGAUUCACUGCUUGUAGCUUGAUGCAUUAUUGGUUGCUGCAACGAAAAGUUUAGAUUUUUAUAGCGCUGUCGGAUUUUUAGGUUUAAAAGUUUAUCGCUGGGGAUUUUUGUUCUCAUUGUGCUCAAAAGUAUCAUUGUUAUCCCAUUACAUCUAAGUUUCACAAGGACCAUAAAUACAUCAGACAAAUACACCAUUACAGGACCAAAUUGCAGGAGAGGCGCGCUGCCAUCGCCUGUGCAGAUAAUGAUCAUUGCGUCCUCCAGCGAUCCGAGGAGUGAACUCCAGGAAAAAAGGAAUUGCUACUGCUGUUCCCAUCAUCGGGCAAGUUUGCAAGUUUAGAAUAUCCUUGUUAGUAUUUAGGUACUGCACUUCCAAAAGAUAUUGAGAACUAUUCCUUUAUUUAUUGCUAGAGAUAUAUGAGAAAUGUACCAAUGAGCUUGAUAGAAUUCCAUAGAAAAGAAAUUUGUUUAUUAUUUUUUGCAUAAUUUCUUUUAUGUAGAGGAGAAAGCAACAAAUUUUUGGAAAUAUAAGCACUAUCAUUCAAAAUGAACUCUUCUGGUCAUGGUUUCUAUUUUCUAUUUAACUAUGUAACUAUAUCCUUUAUUUUCCACCUUAGCCAAAAUAAAAAAUGUACUGUUCUCAUAAGGAUAAAAAAUUGCAUAAAAAUGCUUAGUGCAUUUCCUGACUACUUAUGCCAUAAAUUACUAAAUUACUAUGUAAUUAUGCUAAAUGAUGCAUUUAAGAUAGAUUGGAACUGUUUGUUUGCUUGCUGUUCAGACUUCUUACUGUUGGGGGAGAUGGAAUUGCAAUCAAAACAAAUGCCCUAUCUUCACAAAAUGCUAUAGAAAUUAUGGUUACAAGUUACUUCCGAAUUCUAAUAUUACUUUAAUGUUGAUCCAUGCUUGUUCUUUUUGAUUGUUAUGUUUUUUUAUCUUGUCUCCUGGUAGUGUUGCCAUGUAGCAAUCAACAAUAUUGGAGCAAAUUGUCACUACUAUUGAGAAAUGCUUGUUGUUGCAUAGUUCUGAUCUCCCCUUCCGCAUUUCCUUGUUUCCUCUAUUGAUAAAAAAUAUGUUCUAUGCUAAAAUGGCAAAACAUCUAGAUGGAAAACUCACAGGUCAUUCUAAAAAUAUUAAAGGAUCAUAAAUAGCUUCCUGCAUGGCUGAUGUUUUGGUAUCUUUAUUACUUCUAUCUCUCUAUUUUUCUCUUAAAAUGCAUGAUCCAGUGUUACUAAUUUUCAUGUUAUUUUGGACCUACAUUACUAUAGUUGACAUAUGUAUAACGUAUGGUGCUGACUACCUAUAAACAGCUAGCCACUUUUCUUAUAUGUACCUGAGGUCCUCAGUAGAUUGUUAGCAUAUUUUGUGCUCUCCCCUGCGUUCAACCUUCGUUACUUGAUCUGGAGCGUGAAACAAGGCCGCAUAGGUGGGAAGGCGAAGGAGAGACAUCACCUCCAACAGUGAAAUUCCUAUCAACAUUAAGCUCAAAUUUCCUACACAAGCUAUGUUUUGCUAUGUUGCAAUGAGUCGUAGCGGUUAGUGUAAUGUAUCAUUCCUUGCUGUCGAAUUAUUUAUCCUCGGAAUGUGUAGUGAAAUUCUUGAUGUUGUGUUGUGUAUAUUCUCACAUAUGAUUUAUCCAUGAUGUAUUAUUUGAGUUUCGAGAUAUUUCAAUGUUUAUCUUACUGAUAGCGAUAUUUUCCUGUAUAUAUUAUUUGGUUUGUAUUGUUAAAUAUUGCUAUAGCGUUAGCACGGGUAUAUAACUAGUUCAUAUUUGUUUGUACUCUAGCAGAUCAUUCAUAUAUGA